AGUCGUUGCAGCUUCAAUGGCGGGAACGAUCGAGGGAAACGCCAUGGAAACGCCAUGGAAACGCCAUGGAAACGCCGAAGCAGAGAGCGGAAGAAAAAAUUUGUAAACUGGCAUGGUGGAUAGGAAUCAGCAAUGUCUUAUCAAGAGUCAUUCCCCAAAUGCGCUUCGAGGCUGGGGUAAUGGAAGAGCAUCGAUGAAACUGGUCGAGAUUUUGUUUUAGGCUUUACAUUUUCUUAUUCGAAUGUUCGCAUCUGUUAUUUCGUUCCGAUCAUUACAUUUCGAGAUAUGAAUUUGAGAGCCUCUUUUUUUUUAUCGAUGUUGAUUGUGUUCGAUCUUAGGGCUGAUUGUGUAUGACUGCUUGUAAUGCGGUCGUUUCUAUUUGAAAAUACUUCCGUCUUUGAAUAUGAGUAUUGAGGAAUUAGAGAGAGGACGAGCGAUUCGGUAGACUAACGGAGUGAAUAGAAAUCGGCAAUGCCUUUCGUUCUCCAGAUGAUUUUCGAAACCUUGCGUGAUGGAUUUGCAUUGAUGAAGCUGAUCGAGAGAAGACAAGAUGGAGGAAUGAUUUGACAAUAUGAAGGCUAAUGCUAGACUUCCGGACAAAAUUUGGUUCAUUUUCACAUUUAAGCCUUCAAUAAACAGAGAAAUAGCAUAAUGGAAUCUGACCAAAUAGACGGGAACUGGCCAACUGAUGGAAGUGGUAACAAGCAUUUAGUUUAACUACAUCCAACAAAAUACAGUAAAGAGGUUGAUCGCAGAUUCUCCUCCAGGUGCUCCCUUUGGAGGCAGCCUUCAUAUUAGAAAACUCUUACAGAUGUGCAAUACCAGAAGCCACAUGUUGUUCUCAUGACGAUUUCCUGCAUUGACUGGUCGACCUCGGCGGCGUUGUGCUUGCGCUGAACCAGCUACGUAAAUGGGGAUUACGGCACUACCUCCUCCUGUAUGAGGACUACUAACACCACCACCUCCCCUGGCACCACCUCCAUGAGCAACCGCCUGAGAAACGGUGAUCGCACAUGCACUGUUUCUUCUGCCAAUCUGAAAAUUUGUGUCCCAAAAAUAUGAGCAUAUAAUGAGAGAAAAAUUGGUGUACUGACCUGUUGGCAAGAUUUCUUGCAGAGAAGAUGCUAUGGCCAUGGCAGAACAAAACAUGAGUGGACUUCACUAAACAUGACUACGGCAUGUCAAAUGCUUAACAGGAGCUUUCAACAUUGUCGACAAAGAUGCGUAAGCUAACGAUGGACUUGGGCUGUUACGUAUGAGCCCAGCCAAGGCACUGCCCGAGUUGAUGGCGGAGGAUGUAAUACCUUCGCUGAAAGCAAUACUUGGAGCACAAGACGAUGUCUCCGACGUCGGAUUUUCGUUGCAAGAUGACUGAUUGGAUGGUUCAUUCUUGAAAAAUGGAGUUCCCUACUCAUUUUGGGCUUUCUUCCCCAAUGGCCUCUCGGGUACUUCAAUUCUUAGAGAAUGUAAUUACUUUGUCGUUGUCAUCACCCUUUUAUUACCUCCUGGUUUCCACUGUCUUUUGUUAGAUACAAAAAUGAUGAAUGCAAGUAUGAACAAAUUAUC